rnacentral:antisense_RNA from 1 species
UUGACGGUGGCCGGCCAAAUGGCAUCCGGAUCGGUGAGCGUUUGUUCGCCGAAGAAAUCACCGCCCGCCAACAUGCCGAGUUUGGUCUGCUCGCCGUAUUCGCCGGAGCCCAGUUUGCUCAGUUUUCCGUGCACGAUGAGGACGACCUGAUGCAUCGGAUUUCCGAAUUCGGCGACCACGGUGCCCGGUUCCAGAUCUCGCUGCUCGAAACGGUCGGACAGCGCGCGCAACACUUCUUCGUCGUCGAAACCGCGCAGUGGCGGAAGUUCCUGGAGUUCCAAGGGAAUGACGCGCGCCUGUGACCCGUCGACGAUGAAUUCCACCUCGCCGUUGCCGACGGUGUGCGUGAGGCGGCGGUUCACCCGGUACACACCGCCGUUGACCUGGGUCCAUGGCAGCAUACGGGUGAGCCAGCGCGAGCUGAUGCCCUGCAUCUGCGGUUCGGAUUUGGUGGUGUGCGCCAGUUUGGCGGCCGCGGAGGUACUGAGGCUCUUGCGGACAUUGUUU